ACUCUGCAAAAUAUACUCGGUUCAGCUUUUCAAGCACAUUUUAUUUGGGCAGAUAUAUUGAAGUGUUUUUACAAAUGACACCUUUUCCCCUAGAUUUACAGAGUAUUUUAGAAAGAUCAUUACUUCCCCUACACUGGAAAAACUGGAACUUUGACUUUAAUCAGAUGGAUUAUGUCAACAGAUUUCACAUAACUGUACGCGGUUAGUUGAAAGCAACAAAUAUUAGGUAACAUCAGGUUCAACUUAAUAUUAUUUGAUUAAAGUCAACAUUUCAGUUGUUUCAGUGUAGGUGGACCUUAAAAUGGCAAUAGUCCAGUGAAAUAUCUCAAAGAAUGAGAAGACUGCUAUUCAAUGUGUUAAUAAUAAGUAACAUAUUCCCCAGAAGGUUUUUCUGAAUGACAAUAAUUUGGGGAUAGAAAUGUAUAUGCAUUUCAUUGAUUAAAUGACAUAUCACAAAAAUAUGCAAACACAGAAC